GACGAACGCUGGCGGCGUGCUUAACACAUGCAAGUCGAACGGAAAGGCCCUGCUUUUGUGGGGUGCUCGAGUGGCGAACGGGUGAGUAACACGUGAGUAACCUGCCCUUGACUUUGGGAUAACUUCAGGAAACUGGGGCUAAUACCGGAUAGGAGCUCCUGCUGCAUGGUGGGGGUUGGAAAGUUUCGGCGGUUGGGGAUGGACUCGCGGCUUAUCAGCUUGUUGGUGGGGUAGUGGCUUACCAAGGCUUUGACGGGUAGCCGGCCUGAGAGGGGGACCGGCCUCAUUGGGACUGAGAUACGGCCCAGACUCCUACGGGAGGCAGCAGUGGGGAAUAUUGCACAAUGGGCGGAAGCCUGAUGCAGCAACGCCGCGUGCGGGAUGACGGCCUUCGGGUUGUAAACCGCUUUCGCCUGUGACGAAGCGUGAGUGACGGUAAUGGGUAAAGAAGCACCGGCUAACUACGUG
rnacentral:rRNA from 1 species